rnacentral:rRNA from 1 species
GUCUAUGGCCAUGCCACCCUGAACAUGCCCGAUCUCAUCUGAUCUCAGAAGCUAAGCAGGGUCGGGCCUGGUUAGUACUUGGAUGAGAGACCACUUAGGAAGACCAAGUGCUAUAGGUA